UUAGAAGAAUGGGAUUUGAACCCACACCUAAGACACCAAAACUCUUCGUACUACCACUUAUACUAUCUACUA
rnacentral:tRNA from 1 species